rnacentral:sRNA from 1 species
AAGUUAAAAGUGGAUGCAGAAGCGAGCACAGACGGGGCUAGGGAGCACUCUGUUUUCAGAGAAAGUAGUUGAGAGUGCUGGCAACAACAGCUGAAAUAUAGAGAAGUUGUAGGAUUAACUUUUUCGCCCAAAGCAGCUUCAGCCCACGUUUUAUUCCCAUCGAGGGAGGGAGAAUGGGUGCCGCUGAGUGGGCGGGGGAGUGGUCCCUGAAAGGAGGUGGAGUGCUACAGCCCCUCCCGGUUGCCUCUGGCUGUUUGUACCUUGUUGGUUUAUACCAAUUUGACAACAGCCGCCUGUUGAGUCGCCUCCAGAUCGCAGCUGAAGGAUCUGUUGAGCGCUUCUGGAAAGGCGGUGAGAUCCGGUACCGCAGCAGAGCACUCUCAGUUCUGGGUCUUGCAGGCGCAGGGCUCCCCCAUGCCAGCAGAACGAUAUCCUCUGGUGAAGAGGACCGUCGAAUCUGUCCUCCUCAAGACACCUCUUGUACAGAAUUUAUUCGAAUGCCAUGGCCAAGGUCUUCCUUGAAAAAUGUUAACCGAUGUGUGCUUUUUGUCUUUUGUCAUCCUUUCUUUAGGACAGGCGACACUGACAGGUGAAGCUCUCGGGAGACCAUGACUAAGAAAAGAAUUGCUGUGAUUGGGGGAGGAGCGAGCGGGCUCUCUUCCAUCAAGUGCUGCGUAGAAGAAGGCUUGGAACCUGUCUGCUUUGAAAGGACUGAUGACAUCGGAGGGCUCUGGAGGUUCCAGGAAAAUCCUGAAGAAGGAAGGGCCAGUAUUUACAAAUCAGUGAUCAUCAAUACUUCUAAAGAGAUGAUGUGCUUCAGUGACUAUCCAAUCCCAGAUCAUUAUCCCAACUUCAUGCAUAAUGCCCAGGUCCUGGAGUAUUUCAGGAUGUAUGCCAAAGAAUUUGACCUUCUAAAGUAUAUUCGAUUUAAGACCACUGUGUGCAGUGUGAAGAAGCAGCCUGAUUUUUCAACUUCAGGCCAAUGGGAAGUGGUCACUGAAUCUGAAGGGAAAAAGGAGAUGAAUGUCUUUGAUGGAGUCAUGGUUUGUACUGGCCAUCACACCAAUGCUCAUCUACCUCUGGAAAGCUUCCCUGGAAUUGAGAAGUUCAAAGGGCAGUACUUCCACAGUCGAGACUAUAAGACCCCAGAGGGAUUCAAUGGAAAAAGAGUCAUUAUAAUUGGCAUUGGGAAUUCUGGAGGGGAUCUGGCUGUAGAGAUUAGCCAAACAGCCAAGCAGGUUUUCCUCAGCACCAGGAGAGGGGCUUGGAUCCUGAAUCGUGUAGGGGACUACGGAUACCCUGCUGAUGUGUUGUUCUCUUCUCGACUUACAUAUUUUAUGCGGAAGAUCUGUGGCCAAUCAUUAGCAAACAAAUAUGUGGAAAGAAAGAUAAGCCAAAGGUUUGACCAUGAAAUGUUUGGCCUGAAGCCUAAACACAGGUAUGUUCCCAGGAGGGGAGUGCAGGGAUAAUGGCCAAAGCACAAGAAUAAGGACUCUUCACACUGGCUAAUAGUAGAGCUACCUCUACCCAUACAUUAAGAAAACCCAUAGUGGCUGAGCAUGGUGGCUCACACCUGUAAUCCCAGCACUUUGGGAGGUGGAGGCGGGUGGAUCACCUGAGCUCAGGAGUUUGAGACCAUCCUGGCCAACAUGGUGAAACCCCAUCUCUACUAAAAAUACAAAAUUAGCCAGGUGUGGUGGCACCUGUCUGUAGUCCCAGCUAUUCAGGAGGCUGAGGCAGGAGAAUCACCUGAGCCCUGGAGGCAGAGGUUGCAGUGAGCUGAGAUUGCACCACUGCACUCCAGCCUGGGCAACAGAGCGAGACUCUGUCUCAAAAAAAAAAAAAAAAAAAAAG